rnacentral:rRNA from 1 species
CCUCCAAGGCUAAAUACUCCUGACUGACCGAUAGUGAACCAGUACCGUGAGGGAAAGGCGAAAAGAACCCCGGCGAGGGGAGUGAAAAAGAACCUGAAACCGUGUACGUACAAGCAGUGGGAGCACCCUUCGGGGUGUGACUGCGUACCUUUUGUAUAAUGGGUCAGCGACUUAUAUUCUGUAGCAAGGUUAACCGAAUAGGGGAGCCGCAGGGAAACCGAGUCUUAACUGGGCG